CGAAGCAACGCGAAGAACCUUACCUAAGCUUGACAUCCCAAUGACAUCUCCUUAAUCGGAGAGUUCCCUUCGGGGACAUUGGUGACAGGUGGUGCAUGGUUGUCGUCAGCUCGUGUCGUGAGAUGUUGGGUUAAGUCCCGCAACGAGCGCAACCCUUGUCUUUAGUUGCCAUCAUUAAGUUGGGCACUCUAGAGAGACUGCCAGGGAUAACCUGGAGGAAGGUGGGGAUGACGUCAAAUCAUCAUGCCCCUUAUGCUUAGGGCUACACACGUGCUACAAUGGGUAGUACAGAGGGUUGCCAAGCCGUAAGGUGGAGCUAAUCCCUUAAAGCUACUCUCAGUUCGGAUUGUAGGCUGAAACUCGCCUACAUGAAGCUGGAGUUACUAGUAAUCGCAGAUCAGAAUGCUGCGGUGAAUGCGUUCCCGGGUCUUGUACACACCGCCCGUCACACCACGGGAGUUGGAGACGCCCGAAGCCGAUUAUCUAACCUUUUGGAAGAAGUCGUCGAAGGGGGAAUCAAUAACUGGGGUGAAGUCGUAACAAGGUAGCCGUAUCGGAAGGUGCGGCUGGAUCACCUCCUUUCUAAGGA
rnacentral:rRNA from 1 species